AUGUGGCCACCCGGAACAUGCAGGCUGGGGACUGCUCUGUGGGCACCUGCCGGGCGAGAAGCAGGCCUCCCCGAGGGGCCCAGGAGAACGUCGAGAGCACGUUGUGGGGGACACAGGCCCCAUGGGAGAGCCCCACCCAGGCCUCUGAGCGCUAGCCACAGAUGGAUGGCCUGGCAGCAGCCCCUUCUACAGCAAGAAUCCUCACUGAGAGCCUCCUUCCCCCGACCCCGCGAGAUGUCACUACCUACUUCCACUCCGUGUCAGCCGCACGCAAGCACAGACACACAAACCAUGUGUGUGUGCCCGUGUGUCCGUCUGCAGGAUGCGUGUGCACAUGUGAACUCACGAGUGCGCCCGAGGCCGUGCUGUGCCUCGUGCACCCGUCGCACACGUGUGGAUACGAGCGCUGGGGGAGAGCCGGCAGAGGAGGCUGAGCACUUCUCCGUGGUCCCUGUACCUCUCUGCCUGGAGGCCUGGUUCUGUCUCAUUCUCGUUUCCCAGGAGGCCUCUCUGGGCCCCUUCCUGGCUGGCCUCAGGGCAUCCAAGUCGGGUGGUGUCUGCGCCGGCCCCUGCGUCCUGGGAGCGGCCAAGGCUGCUAGAAUGUGCUCUCCCCCAGCCUCUGCAGGCUUCUAGUCACACAAGGCGCCGGAGGCCAGCCUGCCUCUUUUUCCUUUGUCAGCAUCUGCUUUCUCAAUAAAGUUUUGAAAACCUCUUCUUUCCCCA
rnacentral:lncRNA from 1 species